rnacentral:rRNA from 1 species
AUUGAACGCUGGCGGAAUGCUUUACACAUGCAAGUCGAACGAUGAACCUUAGCUUGCUAAGGGGAUUAGUGGCGAACGGGUGAGUAAUAUAUCGGAACGUGCCUUGUAAUGGGGGAUAACUAGUCGAAAGAUUAGCUAAUACCGCAUACGCCCUGAGGGGGAAAGUAGGGGAUCUUCGGACCUUACGUUAUAAGAGCGGCCGAUAUCUGAUUAGCUAGUUGGUGGGGUAAUGGCCUACCAAGGCGACGAUCAGUAGCUGGUCUGAGAGGACGACCAGCCACACUGGAACUGCGACACGGUCCAGACUCCUACGGGAGGCAGCAGUGGGGAAUUUUGGACAAUGGGCGCAAGCCUGAUCCAGCCAUUCCGCGUGAGUGAAGAAGGCCUUCGGGUUGUAAAGCUCUUUCGCAAGGGAAGAAAACUUACCAUCGAAUAAAUGGUGAGGCUGACGGUACCUGGAUAAGAAGCACCGGCUAACUACGUG